AGGACGAACGCUGGCGGCGUGCCUAACACAUGCAAGUCGAGCGGGGACAUGCGACGGAUAGGAAGUUUCGGAUGGACUUGAAGAUGCAUCGUUCUAGCGGCGGACGGGUGAGUAACGCGUGAGCAACCUGUCCCUUACAGGGGGAUAACACAGCGAAAGUUGUACUAAUACCGCAUAAGACCACGGGAGGACAUCCUUCAGGGGUCAAAGGAGCAAUCCGGUAAGGGGUGGGCUCGCGUCCGAUUAGAUAGUUGGUGAGGUAACGGCCCACCAAGUCGACGAUCGGUAGCCGACCUGAGAGGGUGAUCGGCCACAUUGGGACUGAGACACGGCCCAAACUCCUACGGGAGGCAGCAGUGGGGAAUAUUGGGCAAUGGGGGGAAACCCUGACCCAGCAACGCCGCGUGAGGGAAGAAGGUUUUCGGAUCGUAAACCUCUGCCCUUGGUGAAGAGGAAGAGACGGUAGCCAAGGAGGAGGCCCCGGCUAACUACGUGCCAGCCGCAGC
rnacentral:rRNA from 1 species